AGCAAUGUGUAUAUUUUAAACAGGUACAGCUCAAACUUUAAAUAUUGUGACAAGGUUCAAUAUUUUUUGAAAAGUACAACUCAAUUAUUUUAUAGGUUCAUUACACAAACACUGGAAUAUUUCAAGUCAUUUUUUUCUUAUUAGAUUGAUAAAUAUAGUUUACAGAUAACGAAAACCCCAAAUUCUGUGAAAUAUAAUAAAAGCUAUAACAUUUUCAUAGAAAAUGAAAGAGAAAGUGUGUACUUUCAACAGGGAUGACUGCACCCUUGAGAGGAUACAAUUGCCCCCAUUUUCAGAUGAAAGUAAAGUUUGCAUUUCAUUUGGAAAGCAAGGUCUCAGGAUCUGGAGAAGAGAGGACUCUCUUGCUUUAAGCCCAAUGUUUUUGGGGUUUUUUCCACAGUACAUGAUGGUUUGGGUUUGGGGUGCCAUGUUGGUGUUGAUCCACUGUGUUUUCUGAACUCCACAGUCAACGCAACUACCAGGAAAUUUUAGAGCAUUUCAUGCUUCACUGUGGUGACGAGCUGUAUGGACAUGCUGAUUUUUAUUUCCCAGCAGGACUUGCCACCUGCCCACAGUGCUGAUGGUACCAAAAGCAUGGUUCAAUGACCAUGGUCUUUUUUUCCUUCAUUUACCAGUAAUCUGACCCAACCAGAACCGCAUAAUCUAUGGAGCAUUGAAGAUAGGAAGAUGAGAGACACAAGGCCCAACAAUGCAGCUGACCUGAAGCCUAGCAAGGCCAUUCUAUCUCGCAUAAGCAUCUAAACCAUUCCAUUUUAGCUUUUGCUGUAUGUUUAGGAACAUUGUCCUGAACUUCAGUCCCAGCCUCUGCAGCCUCCAACAGAUUUUCUUCUAGAAUUGCUCUGUAUUUAGCUCAAUACAUCUCAUAAUGAACUCUAACAAGCUUCCUUGUCCCUGCUGAAGAAAAACAUCCCCAUAUCAUGAUGUUGCCAUCACCGUUGUUCACCAGCGGGAUGGUGUAUUAGGGGCUAUGUUGACUGCUGGUCUUCUGUAUUCCUUAAGUGGUGAAAACUGUCAUGACUUUAUUUCAA